rnacentral:lncRNA from 1 species
GAAGAGCCUCAUUAAAGCUGCAUUCAAGGUGGGAGCCCACCUACUAUUCAACGGAAGUGGCUCUGCUACCAGCUUCCAUAAUUGAAUUCUAAUGAAAUAACACAAAAUGUAGCUAAAAUCCUUUAGAUGAUCCCACUCAUAUCCAUAGCCCAUUAAAAGAGGCAAUGAGUCACAGGCUAAGGGUUCUGAAGAGUGCCUUUCUUCACAUAUGACAAAACAAUGGAGGCCCAGUGAGGUAAAACGGUUUGUGCAGAAUUAGAGCUGACUGGCAUCCAUCUCCUGAGGCUCAGGGUUGCCCUUCACAGAGGAAGCAGCGGACAAGUUGAAAACUGGAAAGGUGGCUUCAAGCUAAGCGCAAACAAUACAGUGUUCAAUGUGAUGGUGCCCGUGGAAAGCUGGCCACAGUGGCUGGGAUGCCCUCACAGAAUGUGCAUGCAGGGAAGUUCUCGUCUCAACAACACAUGGCCGUAAUUUUGUUUAUACACAUUGUACUGUUGCAGUUUGCUCCUGAUCCCAAUUGACUAACGAAGACAUUCUAUUGAAGGUGAUUUUUCAUUUUACCUUUUAUGUGUUAGUAUUUUACAGUAUGUCUUUUACCAUAUGUCCUUUAUUUGGUAAGUUCCGGUUUUUAUUUUACACUGUUUUAUAAUAAAUGCGUUGUGCACUUCUGUCACCUUUUUUUCCCUGGUGGACUCUAGACACAAGGGUGAUUGCCUAAUUAUACUGUGCUGCUUAUAAGAAGCAGAUUAGUUAAGUGGCUUCUUAGAUGAACAGUGCAAAGUGCCACAUGAAAGCUGGAGGAAAAAUAUCCCCAAGAACAAAAGAGCUUUAAAAUGUUGUUUUAUUUUUUAAAAUUCCGGUGUCUGAGAAAACAUCAUUUCUUCAAAAUUAAGUGACUCUAUUUUCUAAGAACUCUUAAGUAGGAGCGAAGAUGAGAACUGAAUAAAUGUGAUGUGCUUCUCUCUUGGCCUCUAGGUAAUAAAUUCUGCACUAUACAGAUUACACUAGACGUGAAUCUGUUUCUUGUUUUAUGCUGAGAGCAAGAUCACUAAGACAUACUUUACCUUCCUUAACAGAAUCUAUCUUUCUCAAUGAUGGUGAUAAAGCAGAUUUUUCUACAUUGGUAGAAAACUCAUUCUAAUCGAAGUUGAAUAGUUCCAAGCUGUUAGAAUUUUCUAAGCAAAAGAAUAGCAAGAUGCUCCAAGGAUACAACAAAUGAAAUUCAACGGUUAUUUACAAAUUCAGCUGUUCACCGAAAACGAAAAGCUUCUUAAAAAAUUAGGGUGGUUGAGUCUGAAGUAUGGUUUGGAGAAGUGAUUUUUUUAAAUAGGGUAUUUAUAAAAAUAUACUUGAGAAACCAAUCCAGGGGAGUCAAAAUGGAUGCAACCAAACCUUAAGAAUAUAAAGCAGUGCAAACAAUCCAAAAGCAGUGCUUCUUAGGAUUAAGCCAUGUGCACAUUUAAAGGUUAGGAGAAUUUCAGCGUGUGGCUUGGCUGGACCUUUUCUGUUUCCAUUACGAUCAUACUAUUGUCAGAAAUCCCAGCUAGCAAGCAGGCAAGAGAUCAUGAGGAAAAUCAAACAGGAGUAGAACCACUGGGGCUGCCUGAAUUUCUACCUGCACCUUUCCCGAUUUAGGCAAGGAGACUUGGCUGGACAGCGGGAGGUGGAGAGGGAAAGGGAUGGUGACAGAAGGAAGGAGGAGGCCCCGGAAGCGAGGUCUCAGGAUAGCAUAGGCUCCCUGUUUCUUUUCCUUUCUUUGCUUCCUACAAGCAUUAACCUUGAGCCUAAAAGCACAAUAUGAGGAAAUAAGCAAACAAGAUGAGGGGCAGCACCAAAGAAAUGCUCUAGGCCCUAGGAAGGUUAGAUUUUUGAGAACACAUCAACUUGGGUAACACAAAAUAUGAGUAAAAACAAAUAUGAGAGAAAAACAUAUAUGUAAACUGAACACAAAAAUUGAAUUGAACCAUUAAAAGUUCGCUGAUCUUAUCCCUAAACAAACUUCUGGGAUAUGUGUAUUUCAUCAUUCGUGUGUUUGAAAUUAAAUUUUAUUUAACUGGUAUUUUUAAGCUAACUGUUCUACCACCAAAAUCAGUUUUAAAAUACACUUCUAGUUUCUGCUACAUUCUCAUAUAAUUUAAAAUCAGCCGUGUGAAGAAAAUACAAACCUUAGAUUCAAAGCCUAGAAUCAACUAUAUACCUAAAAUAUACCAGAACUGAUUGUUUUAUAAAUGAGCAACAGUGAGCAUUCUUCUCUUUAGAACCUGGCUCAUAACUCAUCUCUCCCACCAACCUUCUUGUUGCUUCCUCAAAUCUUCCCUUCUCUCCAGCUGAAAACUACAGCAUCAUCAUACAUAUCUGCCUUCUUCUCAUGUUAAAUGUAAUCUAUGCCUCGAGAAUCUCACCUAAUACCUGCUGGACAUUUCUAAACAAAUGUCCAUAUGUACCCCCCUCAGCAAAUUAUUCAACAGCUGAAAAGUGUCUUUCUCCAGAUUUGACAGUCUUGUUGUAUUCCCUAAAGAAGUUAAUGCCAACCUCAUCCUCUCAGUUGCUCAAGAGCAAAACUUCUACAUAAUCUUCUAUAACCCUUUCUCCCUGGCCCCUCAUCUCUAAUCAGUUACCAAAGUGUGCCCAAUCUAUCUCCGUACGGACUAUAAUUUACAACCCCAUCAGAUUUUAAGCUCUAUCAUAGUAAGAAUAUUAGAUUUGUUUGAAAUACUGUACCCAUUACCCAGUACCAUAUCUGGCACAAGAAGAUACACAGUGCAUAUUUGUUGACUAAAGUUAUAUAUUACUAUAUCUAAAGGCAAUUAUUUUAGUUGUUAGCCUUUAUAUUUCACAUAAUCACACAUGAGAGGAUUUUCAGGGAUCUUUUGCCCAUCACAGAACACUGAUCUAAAUUUGCUUAUAUUCCCUGUUUUCCUGACGCCCCAAAGUCCUUACCAAUAUGCACACAGACACACACACACACACAUACACACACACACACACACACACACACGUUUAACCUUAACAACAUUUCAAAUUGAUAAUCACUAUAUAGAAAUUAUUUUUAAAAGAAAAAGGCUAUUAGGCUAUUAUCUUUUUUUCAUCUUCUAGGCUUUCCUCAAAAUAAAGUGGAAAAUUGGCAAGCAAUGAGUCAAUUUGAUAAAAUGUAAACAGUCAAAUGAAAUAGAUCAGGCCAAAUGCUUUAUUGAAAUAUUUAGUUUCAUCCAUCUACUUAAUUGACAAAAUUGGCCAUAUUGUUAAAAGUUUAAUUUAUCUCAGCCUUGCUGAUAUAUCUAUAAUCAAAAGCAGCAUUUUGGAAUGGAAUAGUUCCUUAUACAUAUUUAUAUGGAGUUGACUUUUUAAAAAGAGUUUUCAACAAAAUUUCACAUAAUGUAGCUGAUGUAUAAUGACUAAGAAAAAUAGGAAAACACAAUUCAAUUGACAGUUAUGAAUUUCCUACUUUGCAGACAAUAAAACCUGCUAAGAGUAUGUUGGAAACACCAAAUAAAACAUGGGCUCCUCAGCUAUUGGGGUAGGUAGAUAAAAAUGUAAAUUAAUAAAGGAGGUGGAUUAUAGUCCAUGACAAAGUGGAAAAACAGAAAGCUUUGACUUCUGAGCUUCUGUCCUCUCCCUCUUGCCCUCUCAUCUUGCUUUACCCAUUCCCUCUUGAACUUGGACUUACCAGUCAGGACUCACUCCACCUCUGCAUGCAUGCAGAUGAGCACACCUGAGGGGAAACAGGCAGCUCCACAAGCACACUUUUCUUCAAUCUAUGACGACUAACCUCAAGUGCGCCUUUAGUGCUGGAAGGCAAUCUUACAGUAUUCCCUGGAGAUCAUUCUAUACCUCCUUUCUUCUCAAAUCUUCCUGUACUUCACACACACACACACACACACACACACACACACACACACACUUUACUCUCAGAUAAUGGUUUUACUUCUGCCUUCACUGAGAAAGAA